CCUACGGGAGGCAGCAGUGGGGAAUAUUGGACAAUGGGCGCAAGCCUGAUCCAGCAAUGCCGCGUGAGUGAAGAAGGCCUUAGGGUUGUAAAGCUCUUUCGCCUGCGACGAUGAUGACGGUAGCAGGAGAAGAAGCCCCGGCUAAUUCCGUGCCAGCAGCCGCGGUAAUACGGAAGGGGCUAGCGUUGUUCGGAAUCACUGGGCGUAAAGCGCGCGUAGGCGGCUUGGCAAGUGAGGCGUGAAAGUCCUGGGCUCAACCUGGGGACGGCGCUUCAGACUGCUGGGCUUGAGUCCGGAAGAGGGUGGUGGAAUUCCGAGUGUAGAGGUGAAAUUCGUAGAUAUUCGGAGGAACACCGGCGGCGAAGGCGGCCACCUGGUCCGGAACUGACGCUCAAGUGCGAAAGCGUGGGGAGCAAACAGGAUUAGAUACCCUGGUAGUCCACGCCGUAAACGAUGGGUGCUGGAUGUCGGGGGGCUUGCCCUUCGGUGUCGUAGCUAACGCGUUAAGCACCCCGCCUGGGGAGUACGGCCGCAAGGUUAAAACUCAAAGGAAUUGACGG
rnacentral:rRNA from 1 species